rnacentral:misc_RNA from 1 species
CGAGUCAAUUUUUCUUCAUCAGGAGCCAUACAAACCACUUGCUUUUGCCGCCGGCUCCGAUUGGUAUUCCUACUACUAGUAGAAGAAAUCAAGCGUCCAGAGCCAAACAUCGGCGUAGAGAAAAGAAGAGACCAGCGGUAACUACGGCAGCUUGUUAAAGAGGAAGAAGAAGAAGAUGCAACGGCGGCUGAAGAUGUAGGAGGCACCACUAAGGGUUUCGAGGUCGAGCAUAUUGAGAGGUAAAUAGAUGCCAUACCCUGAGUUUUUACAAAAUCUUCUUCCUCCCAGUUGCUGUACUUUCAAGUCGUCGUCUUCUUCUUUCUCGUCUGGUUUUGCUCCCCCCAGAAUCGAAAGUGGUAACGGAAAACAUAAAUAAACCAACCACCUCUCCCUACGCACCCCACAACUCCAUUUCUAUCCGCAUCUGGUUUUUCUGGCGAUUCCUACGUCCUAAUCG